rnacentral:lncRNA from 1 species
GGAUUGGAGGAUGAAGCCAUACCUGCAUACAAGUUUGAAGCAAAGGUUUUGGCAUGUUAGUACUCAAGAGAAACACCAUGAGCAACAAACUUGUAACUUGAUGCACACCUCAGGCUUAACAAUGCACAUUCAUAAUGGGAAACCCAACAAAGACACACAAACAAAGCAUGUAACAACAAGAAACAGUUAGAACAACACAAAAAAAAUUGAUGAAAAAAAUGGUGAGAGUGCAGGAGGCGCCUGGGCGCCCUUCAAGGGGCGCUGGGGCGCGAGAAGUGCAGAUAAAGUGGUUGUAGGUGCCGGUGGCGCCUGGGCGCCCUUCAAGGGGGCGCCUGGACGUGAAAAGUGCAGAACAGGGUCUGCAACGUGACUGGCAGGUGGCGCCUGGGCGCGAAUUAUGCAGAAAAUUGCAGCUCUUGGUUCAGCAAUGCAAGAGUCACCCAGAACAUACAACAGUAUUAUCAACACAGAUUUUAACAAUCAAACUAAGCUACAAACAGAUUUGAACAAAAACAACACCAAAAACAAGUUCAAAAAAGAAAGAAAAAAUGAAAAGAAAGGGAAAAAAAUUUCAACAUACUUGAGUUGGAGUGGAUGGGAGUGAUUGUUGUUGAGAUCGAACCUUGAGUGGAAUGAUGGAGUGAGUGAGGGUUUGUGGGUGAGUGGAGAAAUUUAGGAAAGGGAAGGGGAGAUUGGGUGUUUUGCAGUAGUUGAACAAGAGAGGGGGAGUGGUUUGUGAGAGUGGCAACGUGAAAGGGGAAAAAGUGAGAGGGUGAGUUGAAAUGGGAGAAUGUGUGAGAGUUGAGUGCACGGAGGGUGAGGGGAAGCAGAGUGUGUGAGUGGCGCUGGAAAGAGGCGCUAGGGUUUAUAAUAAUGGGCCAAGCGCUGUGCAGAGGGCCCAACUCAGAAAACCCAAUUCUGCCAAGCCCACGCUGAGCGCCCCCCCUUGGGGCACCUGGGCGCGAGAUGUGCAGCAGAAC